rnacentral:rRNA from 1 species
GCUUGCACCUGGUGGCGAGUGGCGAACGGGUGAGUAAUACAUCGGAACGUACCUUAUCGUGGGGGAUAACGCAGCGAAAGCUGUGCUAAUACCGCAUACGCCCUGAGGGGGAAAGCGGGGGAUCGAAAGACCUCGCGCGAUUAGAGCGGCCGAUGCCUGAUUAGCUUGUUGGUGGGGUAAAAGCCCACCAAGGCGACGAUCAGUAGCUGGUCUGAGAGGACGAUCAGCCACACUGGGACUGAGACACGGCCCAGACUCCUACGGGAGGCAGCAGUGGGGAAUUUUGGACAAUGGGGGAAACCCUGAUCCAGCAAUGCCGCGUGAGUGAAGAAGGCCUUCGGGUUGUAAAGCUCUUUUGUCAGGGAAGAAACACCGGCUCUAACACAGUCCGGGAAUGACGGUACCUGAAGAAUAAGCACCGGCUAACUACGUGCCAGCAGCCGCGGUAAUACGUAGGGUGCGAGCGUUAAUCGGAAUUACUGGGCGUAAAGCGUGCGCAGGCGGUUAUACAAGACAGGCGUGAAAUCCCCGGGCUUAACCUGGGAAUGGCGCCUGUGACUGUAUAGCUAGAGUGUGUCAGAGGGGGGUAGAAUUCCACGUGUAGCAGUGAAAUGCGUAGAUAUGUGGAGGAAUACCAAUGGCGAAGGCAGCCCCCUGGGAUAACACUGACGCUCAUGCACGAAAGCGUGGGGAGCAAACA